rnacentral:tRNA from 1 species
GGGCCCGUGGUCUAGUGGUUAUGACAUCUCGUUCACAGCGAGAGGAUCGCCAGUUCGACUCUGGCCGGGCCCA